AUUGAACGCUGGCGGCAUGCUCUACACAUGCAAGUCGAACGGUAACAGGCCGCAAGGUGCUGACGAGUGGCGAACGGGUGAGUAAUGCAUCGGAACGUGCCCAGUCGUGGGGGAUAACUACUCGAAAGAGUAGCUAAUACCGCAUACGAUCUAUGGAUGAAAGCGGGGGACCGUAAGGCCUCGCGCGAUUGGAGCGGCCGAUGUCAGAUUAGGUAGUUGGUGGGGUAAAGGCUCACCAAGCCAACGAUCUGUAGCUGGUCUGAGAGGACGACCAGCCACACUGGGACUGAGACACGGCCCAGACUCCUACGGGAGGCAGCAGUGGGGAAUUUUGGACAAUGGGCGCAAGCCUGAUCCAGCAAUGCCGCGUGCAGGAAGAAGGCCUUCGGGUUGUAAACUGCUUUUGUACGGAACGAAACGGCUCUGGUUAAUACCCGGGGCUAAUGACGGUACCGUAAGAAUAGGCACCGGCUAACUACGUG
rnacentral:rRNA from 1 species